rnacentral:rRNA from 1 species
GGAAUCUUCCACAAUGGACGCAAGUCUGAUGGAGCAACGCCGCGUGAGUGAAGAAGAUCUUCGGAUCGUAAAACUCUGUUGUUAGAGAAGAACAUGCAGGAGAGUAACUGUUCUUGUAUUGACGGUAUCUAACCAGAAAGCCACGGCUAACUACGUGCCAG